UGCAAACUGUUGUUAAUGUUGAAAGCGA
rnacentral:piRNA from 1 species